UCCACAUCGUGCACUGUGGCUGCUAUCAGUGCCGCCACUUCAUCCAGCUGAUCCAGACUGCUCUGAAUAAAAGAGCAGAGAGACAGAGGGAUGUCAGUACUGGAAGCAUACGGAAGUAGGCUGUAGCGUGCAGCACGUCUGCGGCAUGUGUGGAGUUGUGGUAGGAGUUUGAAGAGUGGUAGCUGGCCUCAAUGACCUGCAGCCAGGAGCGCAGCGUGGCCUCCGAGCAGUUCAGGAACUCACACACACCGAAACUCGUGAAGAUCUUCAGUCCGAGCUGCCUCCAGCUCCAGGAUGUUGAACUCCCAGCACUCCUCAUCAUUCAGCAUCUCAGCAAUGGGUGGAGGGACGUCAUUCAGAGUGAUUGGGAUGGCCAGCUGGCUCGGGCUCAUAUCUAGCAGAAGACAUAUUCAUUCCCAGAGAGUCUACGCAGCCCAUCCUGGAGAGAACCCCCCCACCCACAAACAACAGGAAAUGGUUGAAUUAAUUGUAGAAAAACAGUAAGAAACUUUUGGUUCAUCUAAAG